CCUUCAGGAGGAGUAAAGCGAGCCCCAACUCUCCAAAUCUUGUUGGCUUAGCUGGAUUCCCUGCUCUUCUGGACUGCGUGUCACCGGCUAUACUUUCAGCAUCCUCACAUAAGGAUCAAUACCCCAAGACCUGCAUGAGUCCUCCUAGGAUUUUCUUCUGGGGAUUUAGGGGCCCUACUGUUGUAAACAGGACUCAAGUAGUCGACUAUAAAAUCCCAGAAAUCCCAGAACUCCUCAAAAUGCCUCAGCCAUGAACCUUGUGAUGAGUGAGAAAUCUUUCUCCCCUAUGGGUGAAGGAAAGAGCCUGAGUCUCUGCUGUGGCUGGGGACAGGAAAUGCACCCACCUGCCAAGCUGCUGGUGACACCUGGUGGCAGCCAGGAAGCCCCAGACUCCUGAGGGAGGAGCAG